rnacentral:rRNA from 1 species
GACGAACGCUGGCGGCGUGCCUAAUACAUGCAAGUCGACCUUAGUGGCGAACGGGUGAGUAACACGUGGGUAACCUUCACCUCAGAAGGGGAUUACACUUUGAAACAUGUGCUCAUACCGUAUACUGAUGGAUGGACCCGCCGUGCAUUAGCUAGUUGGUGAGGGAACGGCUCACCAAGGCCACGAUGCAUAGCUGACCUGAGAGGGUGACCGGCAAAAUUGGGACUGAGACACGGCCCAAACUCCUACGGGAGGUAGCAGUAGGGAAUCUUAGGCAAUGGACGAAAGUCUGACCGAGCAACGCCGCGUGAGUGAAGAAGGUUUUCGGAUCGUAAAACUCUGUUGUUAGAGAAGCGGUAUCUAACAAGAAAGCCACGGCUAACUACGUGCCAGCAGCCGCGGUAAUAC